rnacentral:rRNA from 1 species
UACGUAGGGUGCGAGCGUUGUCCGGAAUUAUUGGGCGUAAAGGGCUCGUAGGCGGUCUGUCACGUCGGGAGUGAAAACUCAGGGCUUAACCCUGAGCCUGCUUCCGAUACGGGCAGACUAGAGGUAUGCAGGGGAGAACGGAAUUCCUGGUGUAGCGGUGAAAUGCGCAGAUAUCAGGAGGAACACCGGUGGCGAAGGCGGUUCUCUGGGCCUGUACUGACGCUGAGGAGCGAAAGUGUGGGGAGCGAACAGG